ACAGAUGGGUGGUGGCUGUGCAUGAGGUGUACUGGCAGGGAAUCAAACCCAGGUCUCCCCCAUGGAAGGCAAGAAUUCUAUUACUGGACUACCAACUCCUCUCAUUUCAAGAUAUAACUGAAACAUAUUUUUCUACUGACCUUACAGAUAGAUGUUGAAAGAGGAGUAGAGAAAACAGUUACCAAAAGUAUGAUGACAGAAUUCUUGGGUAACCAUAGAAAAUACAUUGGGGUGGCAUCAGGAAUGGCCUCACAGGGGAAAGUGCAUUGGCUAUAGCUGUGCUUCCUCCCUUCAGAGGUACAUAAAAACAUUAAAAUGUGGGUCAUUUUUACAAGAGUAGAGCUUUCAGGACAGAGACAAUCUGUGAUUCAUGAGGCUAAUGUAACCAGGGUCAAAGCCACUGGACAUUGAAAAAGGUAAGCUUUGCAGCUAAAAAUGAAGGAAGGGCACAGAAAGGUGGACAAGGACAUGCUUCAAGAAAAAUGGCCUAUUUUCCAAAAUCCUCAGUCCAGCCCCAGAACCACAGACCCCAUUUGCUAAUUUUGUAUAUAUCAAUGUUCAAACCCUAGAGUUUACAUUGGGGAAUAUAAUUCCGGACGUAUCCUAGGCCUUCUGGAGACUCUGCUAACAUUUUAUCACCCUGAGCAUGAAGUGAGAAGGAAGGUGAAAAGCCACUAUUUACUUUGAGGAAGCAAGUCUGUUCCUCUUAUUUUCUUCUUGAGAAUGUACUGGUGCCUUAGGAGGUAGCAAGAAGGAGAACAGAACAGUAUUUGUGGCUUGGGCAAUGCACACAGACAUUAUAGUAGUAGAUAGGGUUCAGUUAGGACAAAAGCAACAUAAUCUAUCAAAAUAAAAAUAAUCCAUACUCUAUUAAUAAAACAAUGCCUGCAACUCAUCCCUUAGCAAAGACAGUUAGGAGCACUAGAAACAUCAUGAGUUCUUGAAAAUAUUAGUUUAGGGUGCUGUUUAGUCACAGGAAUCAAUAAAAUGCUGGUCAUUUUUAGGAAGGAAGCACAUUGUGAAACAGGCAGCUUGGCUUGUUGAGUUUCUUUAAUAUGCACCUUGUCUCUGAGGCAGUGAAAAGAAGUUCUGGGUCAAGAAACUUGAAAGAUGACUUAACUGAUUUGAAGGGGAUCAAAGAACAGCCACUAACUGAAGAAAUGAAGGAGGUAAAGUAACUUCUGUACAAGAAAAUACAUACGACUCCUUAGUCUUAAAAGAUGAAAGAUGAAAUCAGUGACAACAGGUUUAGAUGGGACAUGUAGAAUUCUUCACCAGAUCACCAAGUGUCAGAACAGAAACGGACAGACUUACCAAAUAACAGCACUGUAAGGGUACUUAGAGAUCAUUCUAAUCCAAUCUUCUUGUUAAAAAUUAGGGAAGAAAGAAGUGAGGUGACUGUCCCAAGGACACCCAGCUGGUACUAGCAGAGCUAAGUCUAGACCUUAUUUCUUUAUACAACCAUCUCUCUGAACUCUAUUCAAAGGCCCUAUAUUGCACCCUACCAUAGAAUGUCUUUCAGGCCUGUUUAAUUCAUUCUCAUUCUGGCAGGGACCUAAACUCAGACAAUGGAUGAAGUAAUUUAUUCUUAGAUGAAAAGAGCAAUAACUCUAUGCCUUACCUCUUCCGUAGCUAUUCGGAUUCCAACUGAGCACUCUCAAAGAGGAAAGGUUCUAAACCAAAGAAUCAAAUACCUUCAUCACCACUCUCUGACGUGGGAGAUAAUGACAGCAAGAGACACUUUCCUGGACUCUCUUAAAUUAUACAACCUACAUACCAACCAAUUCCCCAGUAUUUGACCAGAAGUGACCUAAUUUGAUAAUGCAGCCAUCCAUGUUUUUAAUAAUUAGUGAUGGACUCAAUAGUGUAUCAAGAAUAUCAAGUAGAAGACUGGCUAAAUAUUUUGACUAAGGCAUAGCAAUGAAUCCUUUUGACCCUCAGUGCUUCCCCACUGGUGCUCCUUUGCCUUCUUCAUGUAUCCACUUUAUUAACACAAAUAUCUAUGAAAACAGAACAUGCUAAUAUCUUGAUGUGACUUAGUAUGUCAGCUGAAAAUUUUCUUCCUAAAUUAAAGGUAUCUGGAGCUUUAGGCCACUGGACAUUGAAAAAGGUAAGCUUUGCAGCUAAAAAUGAAGGAAGGGCACAGAAAGGUGGACAAGGACAUGCUUCAAGAAAAAUGGCCUAUUUCCCAAUUUUUGCUGAGUCUCUGUAUUUGUUUCCUAGGACUGCCAUAACAAAAUACUAUAAACUGGGUGGCUUAUAAGAAGAGAAAUUUAUUGUCUCAUAGCUCCAGAGGCUACAAGACCAAAUCAACAUGUUGGCCAGGCCAUGUUCUCCCUUCAAAGGCCCUAUUUCCAAACAAGAUCAUGUCCACAGAGGAAGUCUUGCUUCAAAGGAGCAGUGUGACUGUUUCUUUCUCUAAGCUGAGGCCAUUUCUGAUCUCAGACUGUGGCUGUGUCAUACGAAGAAUACCCUUGGUGUGCUCGCGGCAUCCGCACACUUGGAUACCCCCUCAGUAUCAUCUACUAUGGAGCAGAUUAAACCCAGAGGCAAGCACAUACCACAGAAGACAGAUGUCAUGUGAGGAUCACCAAGGAACGAAGGAAUGCCCCUGGCUACCUACAAGAAAGGAAUCAACCCAGCCUAGACCCUGAUUUGAUCUUUUAGCCUCCAGAAAAGUGAGAAAAUAAAUUUCAGUUCUUUAAUGACACCCACUUGUGGUACUUCUGUUAUAACAGCACUAUGAAACGAAGACAGCUACCUUACAGGGUCAUUUUGAAGAGUAUAUGGGAUAAUCCACAUAAUGUUUGUGGAACUGCACCUUGCACAAAUUAAGUACGUGUUUGCAAUUAUUAUUCAGCAGUCUAGAAAAUCCAAAGCAGUCAGGUCUCCAGACAGCUAAUUUUUUGAUAUUGUCAAAAGAAGGAAACAUUCUUCAUUCAAUGGAACUGUCAAGUCAAAUAAAUUUUCAUAACUUAAAACUAUAUCUAUAUCGCUAACCAUGCAAUCCCUUCAAAAUUAUCCCUUCCCUGUUCUUUGAAUGACUAUUCUAAGCUUUCAACAAAUUCAGCUGGCCCAGGUAUCAAGCUUAAGAAAUUUGAGUUUUUAGUUCCACCUAAAACUCAGUUAAGCCUUCAAACCAGAUUCUAGCUCUUUUAUAAAAAUAAAAGGGAAGGAAACAAAACAAAUUUACGAAGUAUGAGAAAUUCUGCCUAAUUUGAGCCUUAAGCCAUUGUUUAAACAUUCUUUUAAAGAAAAGCCUCCAUGAUUAAUUAUCACUGACUUUUUUUUUCCUCUAGGAGAUCAACAAUCAACUAGAUGUAACACUUGGGAGAAUUUUUUUUUGGUUAGCCUAUUAAUCUUAGCCAGAAGAGAAGGGUGGGGGGUGUAGAAAAGAUUUUAGAAACCAUUCUAUGAAAGCAUUACAUCUUCAGAAAGGCCAAGGCAGGUUUUUCCUUCCUUCUGCCCCCCAAAAUGUAAGGAUCUUACAUAGCUACCUCCCUUAAGUAAGCUUAAAAAAAAAAUCAUUUUGAGCAUUGCUCUUAGGCCUGACCAUGCUUAUUGAUGAUAUGCUUAUGGAUCGUUUUCUACAAUAGUCUUUUCUCUGCCUAGUGAGGGAAAUCCAUUCAUUUUCCAACCUCAAAGAAUAAAUAUGAACAUAAAUCUUCAAGAGAUCUCAAGCUGUCAUUUAGCUUACCUCUCUGAUACCAGAUGUUUUCUUAAAUGAUUUCCAAGAGUCAUUUUACCAUUUACUUAAAAACAGAGACGAUCAGAAGUGACUGGAUCAAGCAAUUGGAGCACCUAGCUAGAGCUUUAUUUUUCAUAUUUCUUCUGGAGUAAUUUCUCUGAGUCCUAUAGGAGAUGGCUAUGGUAUUCACAGCCUAGUUACGGUAGUACAGUCUGUUACUCCAAAUAUGUUUCUUACAUUUUCUUGGUGGUACAGUGGACCCUGGAAGACACUGUGGGUCUUUUUGUUUGAUUAUUAACUUUGUUUUAUUUUUGUUUUUUAGAAACAUCAUUAAUGAAGAAGAGGAAAAUGAUAAUAAGGAAAGCCAUACAGUACACC